rnacentral:rRNA from 1 species
AGCAGCCGCGGUAAUUCCAGCUCCAAUAGCGUAUAUUAAAGUUGUUGCAGUUAAAAAGCUCGUAGUUGAAUUUCGGGAUCAAUAUAUCGGUCGUGCCUCCGGUAUGCACUGGUAUUAUUGAUUUCUACCUUCUGACGAACUGUGAUGUCAUUAAUUUGGUGUCAUGGGGAAUCAGGACUGUUACUUUGAAAAAAUUAGAGUGUUUAAAGCAGGCACACGCUUGAAUACAUUAGCAUGGAAUAAUGAAAUAGGACGUUUGACCCUAUUUUGUUGGUUUCUAGGAUCGACGUAAUGAUUAAUAGGGAUAGUUGGGGGCAUUAGUAUUCAAUUGUCAGAGGUGAAAUUCUUGGAUUUAUUGAAGACUAACUACUGCGAAAGCAUUUGCCAAGGAUGUUUUCAUUAAUCAAGAACGAAAGUUAGGGGAUCGAAGACGAUCAGAUACCGUCGUAGUCUUAACCAUAAACUAUGCCGACUAGGGAUCGGAUGAUGUUAAUUUUUUAAUGACUCAUUC